rnacentral:piRNA from 1 species
GUUGCUGGUGGAACUCUUAGGGUC